CAGAAGCAGGCCUUCAUUGCAUAGCUGGGAUUUCAGUUUGCUGGUAGAUUCUUGCCUCCAGUCUUCUCUCAGGUUCUUGUUCCAGAGGUGCUCUGACCCCAGAGCCAUACAGGGUCUGUAGCCUUGAGAAAUGGGAAUGAAAUUGGCCCAGUCUGUCAGGAAAGCAAAAACACCCUGGGGUUUGUUUGGCCAAAGACGGACCAUGAAGAUGUCUGUACUUCCAGUGGGGGGAGAAGAACACCAACUCACAGCCACUCAGGCCUGGCAGUCCCUGCAGCGAGAGCUCAGCACACAUCCACAGAGGCAUGUCCAGCAUCUGAAAGAAGUAAAAUCAACAGCAGUAAAAGUUUGUUUUUUAGCAGAUGCUUUUGGGCAUCUAAAGCAGAGACUUUGAAGAUUCAGUGAAGGAAAUAGUAUUAAAUACAGCGAGCAUUUAAGUUCAUACCCUGAGAUGGCUCUGCCCAGCUGGCCCAGAGACCCAGUUCACUGCUCCUGUGAGCCCUCCAGCAGUAUUCCAGGACUCUGAUGAAGCCUUCACCUUCUCCUAUUUGAAGAUGCCAGCUGGGUGGUCUUUGGCAAGAGCCAAGCAGUUGGGGCCUACCCUGCUAGGACAGUCUCAGCCUCUGACUGCAGCUGAAGCAUGUGAGGUGAGCCCCUGGGCAUUCUU